UUUAGUUUUGCGUUAGGAUAGUUUUUUCUAUGUUAUAAAAACGAAAACCUUAUUUUGAAGUAUACUAAGUAUCUACCGUAGCGAUCACCGUAAUUCAUGGCACGCGAGGUCUGGACUGAAAACAAUCAGCGCGUGUUCAAAUAUGUUUGCUUGUCCCGCGCGAGCGACCGAGCCUUGCAGUCACCAAGCUGGCGACAUUCUCGGUAUUGUUCUCCGGUUCUUCUCAUCCCCUCACGUCAGCUUUCAUUGAUAGAUAUUAAGAAACAUAUACGUAUUUCCGCGAACCUGAAAGACUCUUGCAGGAUCAUAAUACUGUAAAAAUGCUCGCUCUUUCUUGAAUGUUAUUGUGUGUUAAAAUAUUAAAAGAG